GUUUCAGUCUUGACUCUGAUUUCUAUUUUCGUGUCAGACUUUGAUCCCGGCAGGUUAUUUGAUUCCGAUCUCCCAGCAGUCUAUCGUGAACUUCAGAGAUCCACAAUACUCCACUGGAGAAAGCUCCAAAGCCUCCACACCAACAUACAACAUCUAUCACACCCCAGCUGCAGGUUCCAGACAUCUACUUCCUCAAGAGGUCACCCCCACCCGGCUCCCUCUCCACCGGAUACCGUCCGUGUCCUCCCUUCCUCUCAAGGCAUCGCAUCCACACGCCCCAGUACGGCCAGCACGCCUUCCGUCCUCCCCCGACCCGGGGCCUCCCUACAACAGAGCAUGAUCUUUGUGAAGCCCAUCUCACCUGCCCGACGCUCUGCAGCCGGCCUCCAUACACGGGCAGCCCGUCACCCUCAUCAGCAUACCACAGCCUUUAGUAACCACACCUAAAGGUGCCUGUCAACACCUCCAGCAGAGUUUCUUUCACACGCCCGUCUCCUUCCCUACUGUAACCAACACCGCGGCUCCCAGAAACAUCUACAUCCCUCAGAGAAAGCUUGAUGUGAGUCCAGAGGACACCUAAGACCUUCACACUGACGAUCAUCACAUCUGCAGUCCUUACACUGCCAAAAACCACUGUUCUGUUUGAGCCAUUGUGUGUGCUUGUUAUUUGUCUUGGAGUGUUUUUUUAUGUUUUCCUCUUUAUAUUGUUACUUUACUGUAGGGUCUGCAUUAACUUCACAGUAGUCUGUGGUGCUUGAUGCCUUUACUGCUGAGGCUCUUGAGGAAAGCAUGACCUCAAACAUGGUGCUAUGCUAUUUACCAAGACAGUCGGGGUUUAUUUGAAAAUAAAGUUUUUUUUAAAUAUGCUGUAAAUUUAGGGUUAAAAAUGGAAGAAUGAGCAAAAAUUUUCAAAUGGUGUAUGAAACGUUAACAGGAAAUCUAAUUUCAGGGAUUUUAGGAAACAAAUUUGUAUGAUUUUUUUUUAAUUGUUGUGAGUGGCAUCGCCUUAAAGUGUUGAAGUACCACAGUAUAUUAAAUUGCCAUAACUUGCCAUUGUGUUAUGAUGUAUUAAUAUGGGAGAAUGUUAGAUUAAGGGUGUUAUUAAAUAUUGUAGAUGUAUUUUAUGUUAAUGAAAUCUAGUAAUAUUUCUAUCUGCACAUCAUUUAUUUGAACUGUCUUUACAAUCUGAUUUCUAUGUAAUAAAGAUAAAUGAAUGUGCUCCACUCUUGUGUUUAUUUAAUUGUUGGUGAAAUGUUUUAGAGGAAAUGCCUUCCACUAUUUCAUCCCUGAAAUGUCUGAAAUAUCUUUAUGAAUGUCUUCAAGUAUAUUUCAAUGAAUCCAAAGUUCAUAGAGCUCCUUGUUUUUUCGUAGUUAAACACUUGUGAUUAUCACAAUUUUUAUUAACCUUUUAAAUUAAGUUUUUUUUUUUUUUUAUUUU
rnacentral:lncRNA from 1 species